AACGCUGGCGGCGUGCCUAAUACAUGCAAGUCGAACGGUCUUUCUAUGGAAGCUUGCUCCACUGAGAAGAUAGUGGCGAACGGGUGAGUAACACGUGGGUAACCUGCCCAUAAGAGGGGGGAUAACAUCCGGAAACGGGUGCUAAUACCGCAUAGUUUUCUUGGUCGCAUGAUCGGGAAAGGAAAGACGGCCUUUGUGCUGUCGCUUAUGGAUGGACCCGCGGCGUAUUAGUUAGUUGGUGAGGUAACGGCUCACCAAGACGAUGAUACGUAGCCGACCUGAGAGGGUGAUCGGCCACAUUGGGACUGAGACACGGCCCAAACUCCUACGGGAGGCAGCAGUAGGGAAUCUUCCGCAAUGGACGAAAGUCUGACGGAGCAACGCCGCGUGAGUGAAAGAAGGUUUUCGGAUCGUAAAACUCUGUUGUCAGAGAAGAACAAGUUGGAGAGUAACUGCUCCAGCCUUGACGGUAUCUGACCAGAAAGCCACGGCUAACUACGUGCCAGCCGCCGC
rnacentral:rRNA from 1 species